UACGUAGGGUGCAAGCGUUGUCCGGAAUUAUUGGGCGUAAAGAGCGUGUAGGCGGCCCGAUUAGUCCGCUGUGAAAGUCCAGGGCUCAACCCUGGAAUGCCGGUGGAUACUGUCGGGCUAGAGUCCGGAAGGGGCGAGUGGAAUUCCUGGUGUAGCGGUGAAAUGCGCAGAUAUCAGGAGGAACACCAAUGGCGAAGGCAGCUCGCUGGGGACGUGACUGACGCUGAGACGCGAAAGCGUGGGGAGCAAACAGG
rnacentral:rRNA from 1 species